GGACGGGUUUGGCAGGACGUUACU
rnacentral:siRNA from 1 species